AUAGUGCUGCUAUAAACAUUGGAGUGCAUGUGCCCCUCCAAAUCAGCAUUUUUGUAUCCUUUGAAUAAAUACCUUGUAGUGCAAUUGCUGGGUCAUAGGGAAGAAAAAAUUUUAAACUUUUAACUGGGACCAGUCCUAAACUAUCCACCACCAGGAGGACUUAAUCCUUCAAAGAGUUAAAACUAAUAUGAGGAACACUAUAAAAACUGACUAGGAUAUAGACAUGCAGAAUUGCACUUUUGGGUGUGGAGACUCUUAGGAACCUUAUCUACUGGGGCUAGAGCAUCCAGCAUUCCUGUCGUUUUGAACUAAGUUGUUUUCUGUGAACAUUUCCAGUGUUAUAAAAGAUAGUAUGUAGGAUCUCAUGUAUUGGACACAAUUGAGUCUUAUUCUGCCAUAUUUGUGUUUAAUUCAUGACUUUUUAAUUGGAUUUACUGGUAUUAUUUCUCAAAUAGUGACAAGAGUUUUUUGUCUCAAGCAAAUUUAUUUAGUUACAUCUUUCUAGGUUAGUAGUUCUCUGCCAAGAAAAUACGGCAAAAUCAUUUGAUAGCUUUUGCAAAAUACACACACUCAGACCUUCCCCUUCUGAAUAACAAUUGCAAAACGGAUGGGGCAAGAGGUAGUGCAGGUAUGUGGUGUUAGAAGAAGCUAUCCUGAUAAUUCCAUUGCCAGCUUCUCAUUUUGAAAAUUGCUGUUCUAAUGGAACCAAUACUGUUCAAUUACCAGAAAACAAGCAAAGAGUUUAACAUUGGAUCUCACUUAAACUUGGCAAAAUUGUUCAGUAUCUUGUUGGAAUAAAUCCACUUUACCUUCCAUGUAGAUUUCAUCUAGCUAGUGUCUUGCUAAAAAGGAAGUCUAUGUAUACAGGCAGUGAAAUAUACUGUGUUGAUGCUUGUUAAAUACCCUUCCAUUUAUGUACACUUGUAACUGAAAUUUUAUUGUCUUCCAUGCUCUGGAGGAUUUUUUGUAUUUAUUCAUAAGAGUUCUGAGCAAAAGGCUGGAUUUUCAAAGUUGUGCUAAGGUUUAAUAUCUGUUUAACAUGUUCAUUGAAUUGUUAUUUGAGGUUAUUUGCCUAAUAUGUACUAGUCACCAUUUUUAGUUUGUAGGUUAAAAUUAUUUAAAAGUGGUAAAAUUCCAAGAGAAGUACGGGCUCUGUCACUUUGAGAAAAAUUUAUGAAGUAAAAAUAUUUUCUUUUGGUACACAGUUACUGUUAUACAAUGUCUUCACAGGGUGUAAAGACUUGGUAUUUAUCUGUUUUAAUUACAGAGUACAGAGUAUGGUGCCAGAGUACGGUUAGUAUUUGUGACUGACUUAAAAGAAGUGAGUGUCUUGGUGAGAAGUUCACAAGGUUGGUAGCUAUAGCUGAGUUUGGUGAACUGACUAGAGCUCCAGUCAGCGAUGGUAUAUGUGAAUGCCAAGUACUAAGAAUUUCAGGAAUGUAGAAUUGCACAGCACUGAUAAAGUUUGCUUUGUUCCCCUAUGUGACUUGACCCAUUGAGAAAACGUGGUUCCCUAGGAAGUUUUAAUAGUUCAAAGUCCUUAGUUAAUAAAGAAAAAGGGCUCAACAUAAUUCAGCUUGUUUUCACCUGCUGCCUCAAAGAUUAACUUUCUUAACCUUAAUGGGAUAGAGUUACCCUUUGCUUUGAGAAAGUAAUUUAUGGAGCUCUUCACAUUUGUUAGUUUCAGUAAACAUGACACUGUUUGUGUGGAUUUUGUUUUGGUUUUGGGUUUGGUGUCCCAAACUACUAACACUUUUGCAACCUGAGAAUCUUAUGGUAACUUCUUCUAAAAAAUCUCAGGGAAAGGCACACCCACUGUUCUGUAUUAACUUAAUCUUUCACUAGACUAGGAAGCGUUUCGAAUUCCUUCAGGAGAGUAGUGACCGAUAGAGUUUAACCUUCAGUUUUCCUCAUUUAUUUUCAUAAGAGAAUGGGAGUGGAAUUCAAAACAUUCAAAUUUGGAGUUAAUGUGCGUCACUCUGUUGCGAGUGAUAGGUUCUGUGUUUUUCCAGUGGGAAACUUUGAUCCACAAACUGAUCUAUGCCUGUUAUAGACCUCAUUAUUACUUUCUGCUUUUCUUCUGAUUGUUGCAUACUCUUUCAAAAACCAGCUGACUAUACAAGUUGUCUCUGGGAGCAGAUUUCAGAGCAAGAGUGGUAUAUAAAAGCACAGACUGAACUACAUUUCUGAAUUUUGGAUUUGGUGUUUUUCAGCUAAGGAGUUAAACUCUUGCAAAGAAUAAAUGUUGAUGAUACAUACCAGUGAAGGAAAAUGUAUGUAAAUAAAUGUCUCAUGCCAUAAAAGAGUAGUACUUGCAGUCAAGAUUCCCACAGUAGAAAUACAUUUAUUUGCAGGAUGUGUGAUGUUAAUGAAUAGAAACUAUUGUCCUGCUUAAAUGAUUUAUUUGCACUGAGUGUUAAGUAUGUUGAAAUGAGUGCGAGAAUUGGUAAAAGUUAUAAAUUCAAAUAUUCAGCUUAGAGGAUUGAUGUUUUAUACAUAAUACAUCUUUCCAAGUGCCUAUUAAGGAAAUUAUUUUGCUCAAUUUCUUACUCUUUGUUAUGUUAGAUUAAAAUUAUUUUUGGAAUUACAAUCUUUCAACUAUGGAAUGCCCAUCUGGAAAAUCUAAUUUUGAAACAUUUAUUCUUUUUCAUAUGCUUUCAGUAGCUUUCAUGGCCAUAUAAGAUAUAUAGUUUUCUUUUUCUAAUUUUCAUUCUACUCUCUUACCCAAGUAAAUAUGUAUUUUGCUUAAAAUAAGUUCUGACAGUCAAGCAUUGAAUAAGAAAUUAGGAAAUUUGCACACUGUUCAUGGGAAGAAUAAUGUUCAGCUGUAUCUUGAACCAAUCAUCUAAUCUUCCUAUAGUUUUGGGGCUGAUUCUCUUGAUUUCUUGAAACUUAUUCCUAAAUCUCUGAGUAGUUAAAAUGAAUCAUCAUGAAUUAUUAGAAAUUCUAAAAAUGUAAGGCUAAUCAAUUUAAUCUAAUCUAUUAAAUCUAUUAAAUUAACAUAAUAGCAAUUUACUAUAUAUAUGUAUGUGUGUGUAUGUGUGUGUGUAUAUAUAUAUAUAUAUAUAUAUGUAUAUAUAUAUAUAUAUAUAUUGUAUAGAGAAGAAUCCAUUCAGGUGGUUGUUACAAAUUCAGUGUGUGUGAGUGUAUAUGAUAUGCUAAUAGCUAAUUAAAACAAGGUUUAAAAUCGCUUUCAGUUUCUCACCUGAGUUAACACCAGGACUAGUAGUAGGAAAAGUUAUGGUUAUGUUAAGGGUUAGAAAACAAGCUCCCAGGAGGCCGAUGAGCAGUCCAUGCCCUGAAUCUUGGAUGAGGUAGCUCACUUUUCCUGAAAAAGUAUAAAACUCCUAGGGUUGACUCACACUUAACACUACUAAUUAUUUUUAAGUUAGGGAAGAAUAGGAGAAUACCCAUGAAAACAGAAGGAUUUUUUUCUUAUGAAGAGCGAUUAAUCUGUAUCUUAAAUUAAGGUAUUACGUAAGGGCUACUGUGCAUAAAUGCUGUACUGCCCCUCUUUUGGAUCCUCUUCUGAAGGAGGUCUUUAUGAUUCGGCUCAUGCCCCAUCUUCUGCUGUCCCCAGCUUUUAAAGCUGAAGCCACAUCGGAGUUCUGCAAACAACCUUGCUCUAUUCCUUUGCAUUCCAAGCCUUUGCCUCAGCUCUUGCCUCUGCAUAGAUUGAAUACUCUUUUUUUCCUCACGUGUACCCCAAAACACAUACAGCCACACACACAUAUGUGCAUGCACACUCCUACUUUAGGUAUCAUACUUCAUGUCAUUUCUUCAGGGGAAGUCAUUCCUUUCUCUUCAGGCCAUGGGCUCCUUCUUUGUCCUGAGAUAGGAAUCAUAAGAAGCAGUUCAUCUUGUGAGAUUCUGAGGGGAGAUGUAUUUCAAGCAGAGGGAACAAACAGUAAGUGCAAAGGAACAGAAGUUGGAUCAGGCAAAAAUUAUAAAGUAUUCUGGUUUGGAGUGAGUAAGAUAAGGUCAGAGAAGUAAAUAAAGGACAGACAUUGUAGGGCCUUGUAGGCCAUCUUGAUGAGUUUGAAUUUUACUGAUAAGCAUCAGAUUAGUACUUGUUACUGUGAAAAGUUCUCUGAAUUUUGGAUUCAGUUUAACUAAAUGAUAGGACCUCAAUCAUGACCGACCCUAUCAGAAUGUGGCUAAUAUAACUGCUUGCUUCAAUAAAUAUUGAAUACUUAUUUGUAUAAAUAAUCAUGAAUGUUAGGGGCUUAAGGAUACAAAGUUGAAAAGGACUUGAUUCCUGUGAUUGCUAAUAAGAGUGGGAUGAGAUAAUGUCAUGUGGACCAGAAACCCAAGAUUAUGUAAAUUCUACCUGAGAUUAGCUGCCCCUUACUGAAAAGAUCUCACAGGAAAUACAUGCUAAAAGAAAAAAACAAACAAUAAUGUCACCAAGUAGAGCAUCAUCUUCGGCCCCAGUAUGGAAUACAAAUGAACCAGGCUACACUGGGGAAUCAUUUAUUUCACAUUCCUUUAGCCUAGAGCACUCAUAUCAAGCAGUUCUAUUUAUGAGAGCUCUUGAGUAACAGAGAGUGUCUGAGAUGAUGAAAGAGAAAAAUAGGGACCCAUCCCAGAGCAUACCUUACCACUUACUCUUAGGAGGAAAAACAGCCAUGAGGGAGUUUGUCCAAAUGGGAUAAAGACAAUGCCAUGCCAUCGUGAACCUUCAGCUGAGCCCAAGAAAGUAUCAGCAACAUUCCUCCUGUUUGUGUAUGUAUCUGAGGUAGGAGCAGGGGAGGAAGAAGGAGGAGGGCAUGAAAGGGUACUAAUAUGCACCUCUACUCUCCCCUCAAGCAAUUUUUACUUAGGUGGAGUUGGUGAAAUACACGUGACAUUAGUAAUAGCGGUGCAUCGUGUCCUAAGUAGUGGUAAUAAUAGCGAAGUACUGGCUGACAUUUAUUGAGGGUGUGCUAUUGCCAGGCAUUGUUCUAGAUGCUUUGUAUUAACUCACAGUUUAGUCCUCACAAAAGCCCCAUGAAGGCGGGUGCUAUCAUAAUUUUAUAGAUAAAAAAACUAAAGCACAGACAAAGUGAUUUGCUCAGGGUCAUUUAGUAAGUGGCAGAGAACCUAAAAUAAAAAAUAAGAAGUGAUGAUGGAUUGUGGAAAGCAUUUGAGGUAUACUUUCCUCAAGUUGAGGACGUGAGGAAGUACAAGGGAGAGCGAUGUUUGAGCGCAGGGAGCGUGCAUGCCAGGAAGGUGCCUGGGCUGGCCAGAUUGCUGCCUGAUUGGCCCCCUUCGCAGGUCAUGGGGAACCAGGAAGCCAUGCAGUCAGAAACUGCUGGAAUAUUGUGGAAGUUUUGAAUAUGUGGCACAAAAAUAUCUCUUUAAGCUUAUGGCAAGCUACACUUUUAAAUCGUGUUGAAUUAUAGGAUAAAGUUAUUAUGCAGAAAUGUUUUGUUUCCCUUGAAAGCUA